rnacentral:ncRNA from 4 species
UAACCGAAAGGUUGGUGGUUCGAGCCCAC